GAGUAAAUGAAAUGCAGUGAAAUGCAGAGGUGGGGGGAAUCCACUCCAGAUCACCCAGCUGUGAUGCCCUAUCCAUCAUUGCUUUUUGAUAUCUUUCCCAUGCUUCAAGACUAA
rnacentral:lncRNA from 1 species